rnacentral:rRNA from 1 species
UUGACCUCGGAUCAGGUAGGAUACCCGCUGAACUUAAGCAUAUCAAUAAGCGGAGGAAAAGAAACCAACAGGGAUUGCCCCAGUAACGGCGAGUGAAGCGGCAACAGCUCAAAUUUGAAAUCUGGCCCCAGGCCCGAGUUGUAAUUUGCAGAGGAUGCUUCGGGCGCGGCGCCUUCCAAGUCCCCUGGAACGGGGCGCCAGAGAGGGUGAGAGCCCCGUACUGUCGGACGCCAAGCCUAUGUGAAGCUCCUUCGACGAGUCGAGUAGUUUGGGAAUGCUGCUCAAAAUGGGAGGUAGACCCCUUCUAAAGCUAAAUACCGGCCAGAGACCGAUAGCGCACAAGUAGAGUGAUCGAAAGAUGAAAAGCACUUUGAAAAGAGGGUUAAACAGCACGUGAAAUUGUUGAAAGGGAAGCGCUCGUGACCAGACUUGCGCCGGGGUGAUCAUCUGGCGUUCUCGCCAGUGCACUCGCCCCGGCUCAGGCCAGCGUCGGUUCGCGUGGGGGGAUAAAGGCGCCGGGAAUGUGGCUCCUCCGGGAGUGUUAUAGCCCAGCACGUCAUGCCCCCGCGCGGACCGAGGUUCGCGCUCUGCAAGGACGCUGGCGUAAUGGUUACUAGCGACCCGUCUUGAAACACGGACCAAGGAGUCGAGGUUCUGCGCGAGUGUUUGGGUGUCAAACCCGCACGCGUAAUGAAAGUGAACGUAGGUGGGAGCUUCGGCGCACCACCGACCGAUCCUGAUGUUCUCGGAUGGAUUUGAGUAGGAGCGUGGGGCCUCGGACCCGAAAGAUGGUGAACUAUGCUUGGAUAGGGUGAAGUCAGAGGAAACUCUGAUGGAGGCUCGCAGCGGUUCUGACGUGCAAAUCGAUCGUCAAAUCUGAGCAUGGGGGCGAAAGACUAAUCGAACCAUCUAGUAGCUGGUUACCGCCGAAGUUUCCCUCAGGAUAGCAGUGUUGUCUUCAGUUUUAUGAGGUAAAGCGAAUGAUUAGGGACUCGGGGGCGCUAUAUUGCCUUCAUCCAUUCUCAAACUUUAAAUAUGUAAGAAGCCCUUGUUACUUAAUUGAACGUGGGCACUCGAAUGCAUCAACACUAGUGGGCCAUUUUUGGUAAGCAGAACUGGCGAUGUGGGAUGAACCAUACGCGGGGUUAAGGUGCCGGAGUGGACGCUCAUCAGACACCA